AUUGAACGCUGGCGGCAGGCCUAACACAUGCAAGUCGAGCGGCAGCGGGAAACUAGCUUGCUACUUUUGCCGGCGAGCGGCGGACGGGUGAGUAAUGCCUGGGAAAUUGCCCAGUCGAGGGGGAUAACAGUUGGAAACGACUGCUAAUACCGCAUACGCCCUACGGGGGAAAGCAGGGGACCUUCGGGCCUUGCGCGAUUGGAUAUGCCCAGGUGGGAUUAGCUAGUUGGUGAGGUAAUGGCUCACCAAGGCGACGAUCCCUAGCUGGUCUGAGAGGAUGAUCAGACACACUGGAACUGAGACACGGUCCAGACUCCUACGGGAGGCAGCAGUGGGGAAUAUUGCACAAUGGGGGAAACCCUGAUGCAGCCAUGCCGCGUGUGUGAAGAAGGCCUUCGGGUUGUAAAGCACUUUCAGCGAGGAGGAAAGGUUGAUGCCUAAUACGUAUCAACUGUGACGUUACUCGCAGAAGAAGCACCGGCUAACUCCGUGCCAGCCGCCGCCGUAAGAC
rnacentral:rRNA from 1 species